UUCUAGCCCCGAUGGAAACGGCAUCCUUUUUUGGCGCGAGCGAAGCGAGCGGCAAAAAAGAUAUAGUGGACAGCGGGAACACUA
rnacentral:sRNA from 1 species